rnacentral:tRNA from 1 species
GGGGGAGUAGCUUAACGGUAAAGCCCGCCGCUCAUAACGGUUUAGAUGCAGGUUCGAAUCCUGCCUCCCCUACCA